rnacentral:piRNA from 1 species
UACAAAAGGCAAGAAUGCCCAUGUAAGGAGC